rnacentral:rRNA from 1 species
UACAGAGGGGGCAAGCGUUGUUCGGAAUUACUGGGCGUAAAGGGCGCGUAGGCGGCCCUCUAAGUCAGACGUGAAAUCCCCGGGCUCAACCCGGGAACUGCGUCCGAUACUGGAAGGCUUGAAUCCGGGAGAGGGAUGCGGAAUUCCAGGUGUAGCGGUGAAAUGCGUAGAUAUCAGGAGGAACACCGGUGGCGAAGGCGGGUCUCUGGGCCGAUACUGACGCUGAGGAGCGAAAGCGUGGGGAGCGAACAGG